GACGAACGCUGGCGGCGUGCUUAACACAUGCAAGUCGAACGGAAAGGCCCUGAUUUUUUGGGGUGCUCGAGUGGCGAACGGGUGAGUAACAGGUGAGUAACCUGCCCUUGACUUUGGGAGAACUUCAGGAAACUGGGGCUAAUACAGGAUAGGAGAUCCUGCUGCAGGGUAGGGGGUGGAAAGUUUCGGCGGGUGGGGAUGGACGCGCGGGUGAAGAGCUAGUUGGUGGGGGAGGGGCUUACCAAGCCAGGGACGGAUCGGCGGCACGGGAGGGUGACCGGGCACAUGGGGACUGAGAGACGGCCCAGACGCGUAUGGUAGGCAGUAGUGGCGAAUAUUGCACAGUGGGACCAAGCCUGAUGAAGCAACCUUCGGUUCGGGAAGACCGCUUGUUGGUUGAGAACCGCUUUCGCUUGAUACGAAGCGUUAGUGACGGUAACGGGUGAAGAAGCACCGGCUAACUACGUG
rnacentral:rRNA from 1 species